AAACCAACAGGGAUUGCCUUAGUAACUGCGAGUGAAGCGGCAAGAGCUCAAAUUUGAAAUCUGGCACCUUCGGUGUCCGAGUUGUAAUUUGUAGAAGCAUCUUUUGAAUUGGUCCUUGCAUAUGUUCCUUGGAACAGGACAUCAUAGAGGGUGAGAAUCCCGUUCAUGGUGGGGUAUCCAAUUCUUUGUAAAGUGCUUUCGAAGAGUCGAGUUGUUUGGGAAUGCAGCUCUAAGUGGGUGGUAAAUUCCAUCUAAAGCUAAAUAUUGGCGAGAGACCGAUAGCGAACAAGUACAGUGAUGGAAAGAUGAAAAGAACUCCGAAAGGAGAGUGAAAAAGGACGUGAAAUUGUUGAAAGGGAAGUGCUUGAGAUCAGUCUUAAGGUUUAGUGAUCAGUCUUCCUUUUGGUUGGUGCACUCACUAUUUCUUAGGCCAACAUCAGUUUUGGCGGCAGGAUAAUGACGUUGGAAUGUGGCUCUCUCGGGAGUGUUAUAGCCUUCGUUGAUACUGCCUGCUUGGACUGAGGACCGCGCUAUUGCUAGGAUGUUGGCAUAAUGAUCUUAAGCAGC
rnacentral:rRNA from 1 species